rnacentral:lncRNA from 1 species
GAGAUAAACUGUAAACAGCAAUAAUGUUCAGCAAAGUAAGAUUUACAAAUAAGUCAACAUGACCAAAAUGGUCAGUUGACCCCUUUAGGAGUUAUUGCCCUUUAUAGUCAAUUUUUAACCAUUUUUCGUAAAUCUUAGUAAUCUUUUACAAAAAUCUUCUCCUCUGAAACUACUGGGCCAAAUUAAUCCAAACUUGGCCACAAUCAUCAUUGGGGUAUCUAGUUUAAAAAAUGUGUCCGGUGACCCGGCCAACCAACC